rnacentral:rRNA from 1 species
UGGGGAAUAUUGCACAAUGGGGGAAACCCUGAUGCAGCGACGCCGCGUGAGCGAAGAAGGCUUUCGAGUCGUAAAGCUCUGUCCUAUGAGAAGAUAAUGACGGUAUCAUAGGAGGAAGCCCUGGCUAAAUACGUGCCAGCAGCCGCGGUAAUACGUAUGGGGCGAGCGUUGUCCGGAAUUAUUGGGCGUAAAGGGUACGUAGGCGGUUUUUUAAGUCAGGUGUCAAAGCGUGGAGCUUAACUCCAUUAAGCACUUGAAACUGAAAGACUUGAGUGAAGGAGAGGAAAGUGGAAUUCCUAGUGUAGCGGUGAAAUGCGUAGAUAUUAGGAGGAAUACCGGUGGCGAAGGAGACUUUCUGGACUUUUACUGACGCUCAGGUACGAAAGCGUGGGGAGCAAACAGG